rnacentral:rRNA from 1 species
CCCUUAGAUGUUCUGGGCCGCACGCGCGCUACACUGACGAUGUCAGAGAGUGUCUCCUUCACCGAGAGGUGUGGGUAAUCUUUUAAACAUCGUCGUGCUGGGGAUAGAUCAUUGCAAUUUUUGAUCUUAAACGAGGAAUUCCUAGUAAGCGCGAGUCAUCAGCUCGCGCUGAUUACGUCCCUGCCCUUUGUACACACCGCCCGUCGCUACUACCGAUUGGAUGGCUUAGAGAGACCCUCGGACCGAUAGGCUGUCGCUGCAGCAAUGUGGCGACUGGCCCGUCUUGGGAAGAAGGUCAAACUUGACUGUCUAGAGGAAGUAAAAGUCGUAACA